rnacentral:rRNA from 1 species
CCUACGGGUGGCAGCAGUCGAGAAUCAUUCACAAUGGGGGAAACCCUGAUGGUGCGACGCCGCGUGGGGGAAUGAAGGUCUUCGGAUUGUAAACCCCUGUCAUGUGGGAGCAAAUUAAAAAGAUAGUACCACAAGAGGAAGAGACGGCUAACUCUGUGCCAGCAGCCGCGGUAAUACAGAGGUCUCAAGCGUUGUUCGGAAUCGCUGGGCGUAAAGCGUGCGUAGGCUGUUUCGUAAGUCGUGUGUGAAAGGCGCGGGCUCAACCCGCGGACGGCACAUGAUACUGCGAGACUAGAGUAAGGGAGGGGGAACAGGAAUUCUCGGUGUAGCAGUGAAAUGCGUAGAUAUCGAGAGGAACACUCGUGGCGAAGGCGGGUUCCUGGACAUUAACUGACGCUGAGGCACGAAAGCCAGGGGAGCGAAAGGGAUUAGAUACCCCUGUAGUC